rnacentral:rRNA from 1 species
UACGUAGGGCGCAAGCGUUGUCCGGAAUUAUUGGGCGUAAAGAGCUCGUAGGCGGCCUGGCGCGUCCGCUGUGAAAUCCCGGGGCUUAACCCCGGGCGUGCAGUGGAUACGGGCUGGCUAGAGGCAGGCAGGGGAGAACGGAAUUCCCGGUGUAGCGGUGAAAUGCGCAGAUAUCGGGAGGAACACCGGUGGCGAAGGCGGUUCUCUGGGACGGUACUGACGCUGAGACGCGAAAGCGUGGGGAGCGAACAGG